GGUUGUGGCUCUGUGGUAGAGUGCUUGCUUCAAACGCAAGAGGCCCUGGAUUCGAUCCUCAGUACCA
rnacentral:tRNA from 1 species